GGAAGUAAAAGUCGUAACAAGGUCUCCGUUGGUGAACCAGCGGAGGGAUCAUUACCGAGUUAUACAACUCCCAAACCCACUGUGAACCUUACCUCAGUUGCCUCGGCGGGAACGCCCCGGCCGCCUGCCCCCGCGCCGGCGCCGGACCCAGGCGCCCGCCGCAGGGACCCCAAACUCUCUUGCAUUACGCCCAGCGGGCGGAAUUUCUUCUCUGAGUUGCACAAGCAAAAACAAAUGAAUCAAAACUUUCAACAACGGAUCUCUUGGUUCUGGCAUCGAUGAAGAACGCAGCGAAAUGCGAUAAGUAAUGUGAAUUGCAGAAUUCAGUGAAUCAUCGAAUCUUUGAACGCACAUUGCGCCCGCCAGCAUUCUGGCGGGCAUGCCUGUUCGAGCGUCAUUUCAACCCUCGAGCCCCCCCGGGGGCCUCGGUGUUGGGGGACGGCACACCAGCCGCCCCCGAAAUGCAGUGGCGACCCCGCCGCAGCCUCCCCUGCGUAGUAGCACACACCUCGCACCGGAGCGCGGAGGCGGUCACGCCGUAAAACGCCCAACUUUCUUAGAGUUGACCUCGGAUCAGGUAGGAAUACCC
rnacentral:rRNA from 1 species